UGGGGAAUAUUGCACAAUGGGCGCAAGCCUGAUGCAGCCAUGCCGCGUGUGUGAAGAAGGCCUUCGGGUUGUAAAGCACUUUCAGCGGGGAGGAAGGCGGUGAGGUUAAUAACCUCAUCGAUUGACGUUACCCGCAGAAGAAGCACCGGCUAACUCCGUGCCAGCAACCGCGGUAAUACGGAGGGUGCAAGCGUUAAUCGGAAUUACUGGGCGUAAAGCGCACGCAGGCGGUCUGUCAAGUCGGAUGUGAAAUCCCCGGGCUCAACCUGGGAACUGCAUUCGAAACUGGCAGGCUAGAGUCUUGUAGAGGGGGGUAGAAUUCCAGGUGUAGCGGUGAAAUGCGUAGAGAUCUGGAGGAAUACCGGUGGCGAAGGCGGCCCCCUGGACAAAGACUGACGCUCAGGUGCGAAAGCGUGGGGAGCAAACAGG
rnacentral:rRNA from 1 species